rnacentral:tRNA from 1 species
GGGCAGGUGGUGUCAAAGGGAACAUCCUUCCCCUGCAAGGAAGGGAUCCGGGUUCGACCCCCGGCCUGUCCACCA